rnacentral:rRNA from 1 species
UACGGAGUGCGCAAGCGUUGUUCGGAAUUACUGGGCGUAAAGCGCGUGUAGGUGGCUUGGAAAGUCGGGUGUGAAAUCCCGGAGCUCAACUCCGGAACUGCAUCCGAUACUGCCAAGCUUGAGUCUCGGAGAGGAUGGCGGAAUUCCCGGUGUAGAGGUGAACAUCGUAGAUAUCGGAAGGAACACCAGUGGCGAAGGCGGCCGUCUGGACGAUGACUGACACUGAGACGCGAAAGCGUGGGGAGCAAACAGG